GGAUCGUGUUUAAUGAGCACCAUCCUCAUGAGUUAGUGCCAUCGUCUUUUCGGCGAUGAAUACUAGUAGCACCAAACUCCUCUGAUGACCAGUAUGUCUAAAAACUAUCGUUUGGGCUGGGUGCGAUGCCCCUUGGUCCACC
rnacentral:ncRNA from 1 species